AGCAGCCGCGGUAAUUCCAGCUCCAAUAGCGUAUAUUAAAGUUGCUGCAGUUAAAAAGCUCGUAGUUGAAUUUCGGGACCAUCAUGUCGGUCGUGCCUCGGUACGUACUGGUAUUGUUGGUUUCUCCCUUCUGACGAACCAUGAUGUCAUUUAUUUGGUGUUGUGGGAAAUCAGGACUGUUACUUUGAAAAAAUUAGAGUGUUUAAAGCAGGCUCACGCUUGAAUACAUUAGCAUGGAAUAAUGAAAUAGGACGUUUGAUUCUAUUUUGUUGGUUUCUAGGAUCGACGUAA
rnacentral:rRNA from 1 species